AUUGAACGCUGGCGGCAGGCCUAACACAUGCAAGUCGAACGGUAACAGGAAGAAGCUUGCUUCUUUGCUGACGAGUGGCGGACUGGUGAGUAAUGUCUGUGAAACUGCCUGAUGGAGGGGGAUAACUACUGGAAACGGUAGCUAAUACCGCAUAACGUCGCAAGACCAAAGAGUGGUACCUUCUGGCCUCUUGCCAUCGGAUGUGCCCAGAUGGGAUUAGAUAGUAGGUGGGGUAACGGCUCACCUAGGCGACGAUCCCUAGCUGGUCUGAGAGGAUGACAGGCCACAUGGGAAGGGGACAACGGUCAAGACGACUGAGGGAGGCAGCAGAGGGGAAUAUUGGACAAUGGGGGCAAGCAUGAUGCAGUCAUGGCGAGUGUAUGAAAGAGGCCUUCGGGUUGUAAAGUACGUUCAGGGGGGAGGAAGGGAGUAAAGUUAAUAACAAGGCUCAUUGACGUUACCCGCAGAAGAAGCACCGGCUAACUACGUG
rnacentral:rRNA from 1 species